UACGUAGGGGGCAAGCGUUGUCCGGAUUUAUUGGGCGUAAAGAGCGUGUAGGCGGCCAGGUAGGUCCGUUGUGAAAACUCGAGGCUCAACCUCGAGACGUUGAUGGAAACCAUCUGGCUAGAGUCCGGAAGAGGAGAGUGGAAUUCCUGGUGUAGCGGUGAAAUGCGCAGAUAUCAGGAAGAACACCCGUGGCGAAAGCGGCUCUCUGGAACGGUACUGACGCUGAGACGCGAAAGCGUGGGGAGCGAACAGG
rnacentral:rRNA from 1 species